UUGUGCUUGAGUAUGUAUAACUACUGAUCAGU
rnacentral:piRNA from 1 species